GAGUUUGAUCCUGGCUCAGAACGAACGCUGGCGGCGUGCUUAACACAUGCAAGUCGAACGUGAUUGAGAGCUUGCUCUCAUGAAAGUGGCGCACGGGUGAGUAACACGUGGAUAAUCUGCCUGGCGAUUCGGGAUAACACUUCGAAAGGGGUGCUAAUACCGGAUAAGCCCACGGACUCUUAGGGGUUUGCGGGAAAAGGGGGCCUCUGUAUAUGCUCCUGUCGCUAGAUGAGUCCGCGGCCCAUUAGCUAGUUGGUAGGGUAAUGGCCUACCAAGGCGACGAUGGGUAGCUGGUCUGARAGGAUGAUCAGCCACACUGGAACUGAGACACGGUCCAGACUCCUACGGGAGGCAGCAGUGGGGAAUCUUGCGCAAUGGGCGAAAGCUUGACGCAGCAACGCCGCGUGGGUGAUGAAGGCCUUCGGGUCGUAAAGCCCUGUCGGAAGGAACGAAUUCUUCUGGGACGAACAAUCCCGGGAAGUGACGGUACCUUCAAAGGAAGCACCGGCUAACUCCGUGCCAGCAGCCGCGGUAAUAC
rnacentral:rRNA from 1 species